rnacentral:lncRNA from 1 species
CUAGCAGUGCCUGUAAAAUCCCCAUGGCAGGAAUCCCAGAGCAAUUUACUCCAAAUUGCUCCUUCAGCCUGGGGUAGGGCACACAGGUGUCCUCUGGCCCUAGCCUCAGGGCAAAGAAAACCAGGAGUUCCAGCCCCAGACGGGUGGUGCCAUCCCACACUCCGCAUCCGCCAGGGGUCAAGAGGAGCAAUCCUUCUAGGCUCAGCAGCGGUGAAGCCAGAAGCAGGGAGCUCUUGGCGGAGGGCCCUGGGAGAAGUGGGGGUCCCAUAACCCCUGUCUCUGGUAGAAUCCCAGACAUCUGGCACUGAAGAUCUCCCCGUCUGCAUUAAUGGAGGAAGCUCCGACAGCUCUGGACAGAUGCCGGGACGGGUCCUAGGUGUGGGGUGAAG